GAGCCCCACUCGUGCCAUGGCUGAACGUGUUGCUACCUUUGCGCUCCUCUGCUGAUAGCACCGUCCAGGCGCACGGGACAUCGCUGCUAAUCCUGCCCUACUGUUGCUUCCCAAAGUCUAUCUGCUAUCGCGGCCUAUGACAAAGAUAUCGAGCUGACUCCUGCUCAUCGACUCGGAUGACCUCGUUCCUGAGUUCACCUUGAGCCCCACUCGUGCCAUGGCUGAACGUGUUGCUACCUUCGCGCUCCUCUGCUGAUGGCACCGUCCAGGCACACGGGACAUCGCUGCUAAUCCUGCCCUACUGUUGCUUCCCAAAGUCUAUCUGCUAUCGCGGCCUAUGACAAGGAUAUCGAGCUGACUCCUGCUCAUCGACUCUGAUGACCUCGUUCCUGAGCUCACCUUGAGCCCCACUCGUGCCAUGGCUGAACGUGUUGCUACCUUCGCGCUCCUCUGCUGAUGGCACCGUCCAGGCGCACGGCACAUCGCUGCUAAUCCUGCCCUACUGUUGCUUCCCAAAGUCUAUCUGCUAUCGCGGCCUAUGACAAGGAUAUCGAGCUGACUCCUGCUCAUCGACUCUGAUGACCUCGUUCCUGAGCUCACCUUGAGCCCCACUCGUGCCAUGGCUGAACGUGUUGCUACCUUCGCGCUCCUCUGCUGAUGGCACCGUCCAGGCACACGGGACAUCGCUGCUAAUCCUGCCCUACUGUUGCUUCCCAAAGUCUAUCUGCUAUCGCGGCCUAUGACAAGGAUAUCGAGCUGACUCCUGCUCAUCGACUCUGAUGACCUCGUUCCUGAGUUCACCUUGAUCCCCACUCGUCCCAUGGCUGAACGUGUUGCUACCUUUGCGCUCCUCUGAUGAUGGCACCGUGCAGGCACACGGAAGAUAACCCUCCUGGCAUUUCCACAAGAGCGACUACGUCCCACCUGAUCCUGCUACCGGGGGCUUUGGACUAGAGAAGUUU
rnacentral:lncRNA from 1 species